rnacentral:tRNA from 1 species
GCCCCGGUAGCUCAGCCUGGUAGAGCGACUGACUUGUAAUCAGUAGGUCGUGGGUUCAAAGCCCACCCGGGGCUCCA